rnacentral:rRNA from 1 species
UACGGAGGGGGCGAGCGUUAUUCGGAAUUAUUGGGCGUAAAGGGCGCGUAGGCGGCUGUACAAGUCAAAGGUGAAAUCCCUCGGCUCAACUGAGGAACUGCCUUUGAAACUGUACGGCUUGAGGCCGGGAGGGGGUAGCGGAAUUCCCAAUGUAGCGGUGAAAUGCGUAGAUAUUGGGAGGAACACCAGUGGCGAAGGCGGCUACCUGGACCGGUUCUGACGCUGAUGCGCGAAAGCGUGGGGAGCGAACGAGG